AUACAUAGGGGGCAAGCGUUGUUCGGAAUGACUGGGCGUAAAGGGUGUGUAGGCGGUUUUCUAAGUUAGAAGUGUAAUACCUCGGGCUUAACUCAGGAGCUGCUUUUAAAACUGGAGGACUAGGGUGUAGGGGAGGAGAAUGGAAUUCCUAGUGUAGGGGGGAAAUGGAUAGAUAUUAGGAGGAAAACCAGAGGCGAAAGCGAUUCUCUGGACUACAACUGACGCUGAGGCACGAAAGCGUGGGGAGCAAACAGGAUUAGAUACCCUGGUAGUCCACGCUGUAAACGAUGAAUACUAGGUGUAGGGGGUAUCGACUCCCUCUGUACCGAAGCUAACGCAUUAAGUAUUCCGCCUGGGGAGUACGGUCGCAAGGCUGAAACUCAAAUGAAUUGACGGGG
rnacentral:rRNA from 1 species